AUACAGAGGGUGCAAGCGUUAAUCGGAAUUACUGGGCGUAAAGCGUGCGCAGGCGGUUUGUUAAGUCAGAUGUGAAAGCCCCGGGCUCAACCUGGGAACUGCAUUUGAAACUGGCAAACUAGAGUGUGGUAGAGGGAAGUGGAAUUCCUCACGUAGCGGUGAAAUGCGUAGAUAUGAGGAGGAACACCAGUGGCGAAGGCGACUUCCUGGACCAACACUGACGCUCAUGUACGAAAGCGUGGGUAGCAAACAGGAUUAGAUACCCUAGUAGUCC
rnacentral:rRNA from 1 species